UGUUUAUAUGCUCCCUUCAAACAUUAGAAGACCACAGUGAGGUCUCCCCUAAGCCUUCUCUUUUCCAAGCUAUAUUUGCCAUAAAUAGAUUAUGGAGAGAACACUGUUGAUGCAAAGGGACUUGAAAUAGUGGGCUGAUUUUUUUUGUUUGUUUGAAAGAAUUUGUCCUAAGGAAAACAAAAUAACCUCCCUUAACAUUUUGAUUGCUGCAGUUGUGUUCUGGAAUAUGAUGGCAAAUGUAUUAACUAGGUUAGGAGAUGUAGUGAUAAAAAUAAAUCCAUAUGAUGAAGAAAAGGGGUUGUGGACUGCGAUCAGUGGCAGUUGGAGCAGAAGGAACAAUUGUGUUUGUGCCAGUGCUCACACACCUACACACACACCUCACACACUACACAUCCCACAUGGAGUGGGAACCAAGCGGCAGAAAGGAAAUGCUGCAGUGGUAAAGCACCUAUUUGCUUCUUCACAAGCCCUGCUUCCUGCACAUCGCUGGUUAUUGGGAGCGCUGCCAUUUCAGAGCAGAUUUGUAUCUGCCUUUAAGUCCUGUAUACAUUGUUUUCAUGGCAGACUUCAGAACACUUUCAGUUACAAGAACAGGCUGUUCCUGCCACGUUCUGUUCCACCAAAGCAUGUUACGAAAGUGAGAUAGACCCAAUUUUACUGCAUAUUAGUCCAUGUUCCCAUCAGCCAUGGCUUCCCAUAGCGAAAGGACCUUCUGGAACUGAACCCAAUACCAGUUUUACAUGUCUGAGUGCUUAAGCCACCAGUAUUCCAGUAGACUUCACAUACUGAGAGCACCUGCAAGCCCUUAGUGGGAGGGGGAAGACCUUCCUUCUAUGUUUCACAGCAUGAAAAGGGCUGGAAAUCCUGUAUGCAGUUCUCAGGCUCUGAACUGUUCCUCUUGUCUACGUUUCUGAGCUGCUCUGAGGCACCAGUGUUGGUGGACUUCAGUGCUGCAGCAGCAUCCUCAGCAGGCACAGGAGCCCAGAGCAGUGCUGAGCCAUGAUCAGUGGCAUUGCUGUUUCUUAGAGCUGAUUUUGUGGCUUUUCCCCAGCAGAAGGAAUUGAGGUCAUUUUGCCCCAGAGGUUGGUGCUGUACUAAGAGAGCACUGAGAUCACAAUGCCUCAAAGGGCUUCUAAGGCCCUUGGUUCCCUGAUGCUCCUGUCAACUAAAGCAGUGUUCCUAACCUCGUUUUGCCAGCAGGAUGUACAAGUUAUUUUAAAUAGUGUAACCGAUCUGGCUGGGUUACACCCAAUGUAGAGACACAUGGAAAGCUGAAGCUUCUCUUCAGCGCCUGCCCAGAGGUCCUGGCUGGGGACUGAGGGAACGAGCUGCAGCGUGCAGGGCUGGUGUGUGUGUGUGUGUGCAGGGUCUGGAGGGGCUGAGUGCGAUCAAACGGCUUUGAAAACUCCUGUGGCAGCCAAGUUCCGGGCGAUCUAAAAAGUAACGAUGGUGUAACAUCAGCCUCUGCGAAACGUCAACCGGAAUACCGGGUGCACAUUGUACCUUGAGCUACUUCAUUGCUUUGAAUUGCUGUUUUGAUGUGCGUCUGUCCUGGCGGGCAGGCGGGACUGCAGGUGGGAACGGUGUGUUUGUAAAUGAGGAGGGCGUUCAUAUUGCCGAACUGGGGAAGAUCUGCUCCCUGUUGCGCCGUGUCCUCCCGCAGCCCUGCCCUGCCCUGCCCACACGCGUGGCCCCUCCGAGGUGACACCGCCGAGCGCAGGGGGCGGCUGCGGGGAGAGCAGUGUCGGUCGCAGCCCCGCUGCCUCCCGCUGUGCCCUGCCCGCUGCUCCACUGCCGCCAGAGCUCUGCCUGCUCCACGCUCAGCCCCGCCGCCCAGCUUCAGCCCGGUGUCCGCUGCCCGGUCGGGGAUUGCUUUGCUUUCUCUCCAGGUGGCUGAGUGCUGUUGUUUCGGGGCUGGUGUUCUUCGUCUCAGCACAGGAACGCUGUAUCAUCUUGGAGUAUGGAAAUCGUAUGGAAGAGAAGGUGGUAUCUUCAGUUGGGCUGCGUACUGAUAAUGAACCUGGUUUAUGCCAAUCUAGACUAUCUGAAAGAAGCUCCUGCAAGCCUGGGUCAGAUUGACCACCAGUGCUGGGAGGUGUCGUCCCAUGGGCUGGUGGAAAUGAAGAAACUCAAGGUAGCAGAUCCGGUCAUUGCUCUCUGGGACUUCAUGUUAUUCCUAAAGGAAUCCCCCAAGCCCAAACACAAUGAACUUUUCAAUGAUCUGGCCCAGAACUUUUGGGAUAUGUAUGUAGACUGUGUGCUCUCAAGAUCCCAUGGAAUGGGCAGAAGACAAUUAGUAUCUCCCAGAUACUCUUCUACAUACUCACAUAGAACUUUAGAAGGUAACUAUAGGAUAUGAUGUUGGUCUGUUAUCUCCUGCUAUUAAACCAGACCACUGUCUCAUCCUCAUCCUUGGUUGUUCCAACAGUACAAUAUAUUAAUUUCCAGUUUUCUGUCUCUGCAUGUCAAAUGUAUUUGCAUCCUUCAGCAGUAGCUACUUUCACAAUAUACAAGUCAAAAGUUGUUAGAGCACUAAAUUUCUGUAUGAGGUAUAAAUAAUGACAGGUAUAUAUGUGGGACGGUGUGUAAGUAGAUGCUGCAUGCUCUGUUUAUCACCGUGUGCACAUGAAUGAUGUUACAAUACUAACAGUUUUCUAGUCAGUCUCAACUUCAGAGAAUCAUCCCUCUGUGAGAAGGGAAGCACACAGCUCCAGCAGUUUAAACCUUGCACUUCUCAUUGAUAUGAAAUGUGAGCUCAUGGUCACUGAAUCACCGAAGCGAUAGAUUCCAGUCAUCCUGGUUGGGAUGAACCUGAAUUGAGAUCAUACAGGAUUAUUAUCCAGCCCUAGAUCUAUUAUCUUCCUUCUUCCUCUGCAACAGACAUAUAUGUUUUCUUCCCCGAUUAACCAGUCAAACACUUUAGGUUUCCAAACUGAAAUGGAGAUCAUUUAAUCCCAGCACUCCAAGCCACAAUGCUUGGAAAAUAACUGCCUUUCUCUCAUAAUCUUACAGGGUCUUCUUUGAACAACCCAUUUUAGGUCAAAAGGGGAGGACACAAAGAGAUACCUCAACAAAGUAAUGUCAAAAUGAAGGAGGACAGAAAGCACAGCAUUUCCUGUAGAUGCUUAGACAAAUCAAUUGAUGUGGUUCAACUUUCUUUUUCUAUAUUAAGUUUGAUGGAAACCCAAUAUAUUUUUAUACAUUAAGCAACAGAGAAAAUGUCCACAUGUGUAUUUUAUAAACUGUGUUGUAAGUACAAUCAACUUUAGUGGUAAGAAUUGCAAAGAAGCGUGAUGCCAAGUUGAAGGGAAGGUUUAUAUUCAUUGUAAUGUCUUGUGCAGCCUAAGCUUUGUAUUUUACCAUUGCUUAGACUAGGCUAUGGAUUAAUUAAAAUAUUUUUCUAUGCAGCAGGGUCUGUAUAAUAGUCAUUUCCUUGCCUAUUAAUGCAGUAUUUGCAGAAACACCAUUACACUGCUUUAAGAAAGA